rnacentral:tRNA from 1 species
GCCCCUGUAGUAUAGUGGAUGUACGUACGGUUGCGGUCCGUAAAACCGGAGUUCGAUUCUCCGCAGGGGCG